GACGAACGCUGGCGGCGUGCUUAACACAUGCAAGUCGUACGGUAAGGCCCUUUCGGGGGUACACGAGUGGCGGACGGGUGAGUAACGCGUUAGUAACCUGCCCUUGACUUUGGGAUAACUUCAGGAAACUGGGGCUAAUACCGGAUAGGAGCUCCUGCUGCAUGGUGGGGGUUGGAAAGUUUCGGCGGUUGGGGAUGGACUCGCGGCUUAUCAGCUUGUUGGUGGGGUAGUGGCUUACCAAGGCUUUGACGGGUAGCCGGCCUGAGAGGGUGACCGGCCACAUUGGGACUGAGAUACGGCCCAGACUCCUACGGGAGGCAGCAGUGGGGAAUAUUGCACAAUGGGCGGAAGCCUGAUGCAGCAACGCCGCGUGCGGGAUGACGGCCUUCGGGUUGUAAACCGCUUUCGCCUGUGACGAAGCGUGAGUGACGGUAAUGGGUAAAGAAGCACCGGCUAACUACGUG
rnacentral:rRNA from 1 species